CUAAGUUCUACAGCGCCAUUCAAUGGCUUCUCCGCUCCUUUCAUUAUUUUCUGCUUCUCCCCUGACAGCCCUGCUUGCAAACGUCACUGCUAUGGAUAUUUAAUUAUACUGUAUUUUUUUAAUCACGGUGGAAAACGCAGGCCCCGUUGCGAUGAUUAAAAAGAAAUAAACCCCCCGAAAAGACUCCGGACUGACUUUGGACCCUCUUUGACGGCUCCCGGCUCCUCAAAACCCCCCUUUUUACCUUUGUCUUCCUUACCUUAAAAUUUAAAGCAAAGCGUAGAAGAAACUCCCGCACGUAAACGGAGCGUUGUAAAAGAUUGUGUUCAAUGAAUAAUGAAGCAUGUCCACAUGAUUGACUUGAUCAUUUUCUGGUGCGGAGGGGGAAAAGUGCGGCGCGGGGCUGCCGCGGCCGCCCGCCCCGGGCAGCCCUCCCAACUGCUUCCCGCACAUCCCGAGCACAGAGCGCUUUAUUUUAAUCUGCCUCUUUGCAGAAUAACCCCCUUCAUUGAUACCGAUCGCCCAACAUCACAAGACAUCCCCGUCUCUCAGCGUGGACUCCCCCUAUCUGGGCACCCCAGCUCUGUAGCCAAAAGCAUGGCUCCACGGCGGCAGACGCAGCAUGGGUACUCACGGCAACUCAUCACAGCAUCCCUGGCAGGCUGUACACACCAAGCCCCAUCCUGCAGCCUCACCACUCUUCCGAAGCCUGAAGCAGGUUGAAGGACUCUGGAAGGACCAUGUUCUUGGCCUUUUCCUGCCCAGUUUCACAAGGUUAAUGAGACCUGUGGAGGAAUCGCUGCUGGAGACGGGGC
rnacentral:lncRNA from 1 species